rnacentral:rRNA from 1 species
UACGAAGGGUGCAAGCGUUACUCGGAAUUACUGGGCGUAAAGCGUGCGUAGGUGGUGAGUUAAGUCUGUCGUGAAAGCCCCGGGCUCAACCUGGGAAUGGCGAUGGAUACUGGCUCGCUAGAGUGCGGUAGAGGAGAGUGGAAUUCCCGGUGUAGCAGUGAAAUGCGUAGAGAUCGGGAGGAACAUCAGUUGCGAAGGCGGCUCACUGGCUCGGUACUGACGCUGAGGUGCGAAAGCGUGGGGAGCAAACAGG